rnacentral:rRNA from 1 species
ACUCCUACGGGAGGCAGCAGUGGGGAAUAUUGCACAAUGGGCGCAAGCCUGAUGCAGCCAUGCCGCGUGUAUGAAGAAGGCCUUCGGGUUGUAAAGUACUUUCAGCAGUGAGGAAGGUGGGAGUCGUUAANGCGGCCUCAUUUUGACGUAGCNGCAGAAGAAGCNCCGGNUAACUCCGUGCCAGCAGCCGCGGUAAUACGGAGGGUGCGAGCGUUAAUCGGAAUUACUGGGCGUAAAGCGCAUGCAGGUGGUUUGUUAAGUCAGAUGUGAAG